AUGUGUUUCUUACAGUCAGUCAGAGUGAGGAAAGUCUUACAGCAGAUUCUACAAGCGUAUUUCCUGGCUCCUUCUACCACCAGGACGUUGUGUUCAGACAGGGCUUUCUUACACUUGGAGAGAACGUCUGCUGAGGCACGGGUCAGCUGGGGGUGGGGGUGGGGGGCGGAGGAGGAGGUGGGUGGGCCUGACUCGUACCCUCCCGAUCCGUUCAGAAGCAAGGGUCCCCCUUCCCCAAGACUGGAGGAAGACAGGGCGUCUUGGAGAACGACCCCCGUUCCUCCUCCUCCUUCUCCUCCUCCUCCUCCUCCCAUGUUGUCGUUUUUAGGUGCGAUGCGGCGAUAUCCAGGAAAGCCCAGGGAGACCCCUGUAGAGGCGCGGGCCAGGGAGUGCAGGCCCAGGCUGGAGCGCUGGAAGUCCAGAGAGAACGGGUCUGGAAACCCUCCUCCUCCUCCGCCUCCCCUGGGGUUUCCCAGCCCGUCAUGCAGGGGACGCAGGAAGAGCGAAUCAGCGUCUGUAGAGAAUCCACCGAGUCCGUCGCCACCCAGCAGGUGCAGGUGGUUGGCCGACCCGGUACGGAGCAUCGAAGAAGAGUUACCGGUCCCAGAGCGUUCCGGGCUCAGCAGGAAGCGAUGUGCCGCUGCCAUCGCCUCGCCGGUUGUCGUGUUGAGGUCGUCGUCCCCGGCAUCGACCCCCGACCCCCCGCUUCCAAACACCUUGGCGCCGAGGAAGCUAGAAAUCCUAAAACCAGACUUCCCAUCAAGAUGGUUACUACAGCCAAAACCAGCACCACUCUCCCUACCAAGACCUCCUUUCAGCAGGAGCUGGGAGCUGGGCUGGAGCAACUGUUGGUCAGAGGAGGAGAGACUACGGUCGCUGCUCUGUGGGCUCAGCUCUACCUUCUCCUCCUCUCCUCUUCCUCCUCCAGGUCCCAGCUGGUCGCUGCCCUGGAUGGUGAUGUCAUCAGCUGGCUCUGGGGAGCUCAGAGGCUCACACUUCACCACCACCUGGAGGAGAGGAGGAGAUGAGGAGAAAGAGAGGAGGGGAGAGGAGGAGGAGAGAGAGGAGAAGAUAGGAGAAGAGGAGAGCAGAGGAGAGAGGAGGAGAGAGAGGAGGAGAGAAGAGAGAGGAGAAGAUAGGAGAAGAGGAGGGGAGAGAGGAGGAGAUGAGGAGAGAGAGAAGAAGAGAGAAGGGGAGAAGAGAGAGAGGAGGAGAGGGGAGAGAGGAGAAGGAGAGAGAGGAGAAGAUAGGAGAAGAGGAGAGGAGGGGAGAGAGAGGAGAGGGAGGAGAAGAGGAGAGGAGGGGAGAGAGAGGAGAGAGAGGAGAAGAGGAGAGAGAAGGGGAGAAGAGCGAGAGGAGGAGAGAGAAGGAGAGAAGAGCGAGAGGAGGAGAGAGAAGGAGAGGGGAGAAGAGAGAGAGGAAAAGAGAUACAGACAUGAAGGAGGACAACAGGAUAUGACCCAUUACUUUAUCCAAGGUUGGGUUUAA
rnacentral:lncRNA from 8 species